AUGAAUGUCCAUAUAGCCUAGGUUUUUCACAUGUCCUAAAUAAGAAUAGGUACAUGUACAUUUGGUGGCAAGGUACAUGUACAUUUGGUGGCAUGUAUGAAAUGAAGAAAAUGAAGCAACACAAGUUUGAUUUUAAUUCUUGUGUUGUCAUUGAUGACUUCAUCAAGAGAUUUACCAUCUCUAUAAAUAGAUGGUUAAGUUCUCAAUUUGUGAAAUGAAUAAGAAGUGAAAUAUAAUCUCUCCCUCCUUUCUACAAAGUUAUUAGUUUGCUUCUCAAGUUUAUUUCCAAUUAUAUAGUUUAUAACACGUUAUCAGCACGAGUCUCUAAUAUUUUAUUUGAGUUUAGCCCAUAUCGAAGUUUUUGUUAUUUAAGGGGUUGCAAUUAUAAAUCAUCCGGAAAAUGAUUCACGACGGUGUAUGUAAUCAAGUAUUGUUUGCAAUUCUUCAUGAGGUUUGGGUAUCUAGUAAGUUAUACUUGUAUCUUAUAAUAAAAACAGUUUCCAUCACAGGUAAA